GGUUAAGCGACUAAGCGUACACGGUGGAUGCCCUGGCAGUCAGAGGCGAUGAAGGACGUGCUAAUCUGCGAUAAGCGCCGGUAAGGUGAUAUGAACCGUUAUAACCGGCGAUUUCCGAAUGGGGAAACCCAGUGUGACUCGUCACACUAUCAUUAACUGAAUCCAUAGGUUAAUGAGGCGAACCGGGGGAACUGAAACAUCUAAGUACCCCGAGGAAAAGAAAUCAACCGAGAUUCCCCCAGUAGCGGCGAGCGAACGGGGAGGAGCCCAGAGCCUGAAUCAGCAUGUGUGUUAGUGGAAGCGUCUGGAAAGGCGCGCGAUACAGGGUGACAGCCCCGUACACAAAAGCGCAUGUGCUGUGAGCUCGAUGAGUAGGGCGGGACACGUGGUAUCCUGUCUGAAUAUGGGGGGACCAUCCUCCAAGGCUAAAUACUCCUGACUGACCGAUAGUGAACCAGUACCGUGAGGGAAAGGCGAAAAGA
rnacentral:rRNA from 1 species